AGGAAACGCAUUGCGAAUAGAAAAACAUUGAAAUCCAUGCUGCUGCUUUCAACAUUGCUGUAUUGAAAUAAAAUACAGCAGAAAACACCCAUCAUUCAUCAUUCAAUACACCGCACAGUUCAAGGGGUGAAAAAGAGCAUUCUGUAUGUGGUGGAUUUUUGAUUUGAAAUUUAAAU
rnacentral:sRNA from 1 species